AUUGAACGCUGGCGGCAUGCUUUACACAUGCAAGUCGGACGAGUGGCGGACGGGUGAGUAACGCAUCGGCACGUACCGAGUAAUGGGGGAUAACUGUCCGAACGGACAGCUAAUACCGCAUAUUAUUCGCGCGGCCGAUGUGGGAUUAGCUGGUUGGCGGGGUAAAGGCGGACCAAGGCGACGAUCAGUAGCGGGUCUGAGAGGAUGAUCGGCCACACUGGGACUGAGACACGGCCCAGACUCCUACGGGAGGCAGCAGUGGGGAAUUUUGGACAAUGGGCGAAAGCCUGAUCCAGCAAUGCCGCGUGUGUGAAGAAGGUCUUCGGAUUGUAAAGGACUUUUGUCAGGGAAGCGGUACCUGAAGAAUAAGCACCGGCUAACUACGUGCCAGCAGCCGCGGUAAUAC
rnacentral:rRNA from 1 species